AAAUCCCAUACCCCAUAUCCAAUAUCCCAUACCCCAUAUCCCAAAUCCCAAUCCCAUAUCCUUACCCCAACCCCAAUUCCCACAUCCCAUCCCAUAACCCCAUAACCCCAUAACCCCGUACCCCAAUCCCAAAUCCCAUAUCCCAUAUCCAAUCCCAUACCCCAUAUCCCAAUCCCAAAUCCCAAAUCCCAAUCCCAUAUCCCAUACCCCAAAUCCCAUACCCCAAAUCCCAAUCCCAAAUCCCAUAUCCCAUCCCAUACCCCAAAUCCCAUACCCCAAUCCUAAAUCCCAAUCCCAUACCCCAUGCCCCAAAUCCCAUACCCCAAAUCCCAUACCCCAUACCCCAAUCUGAAAUCCCAUACCCCAUAUCCAAUAUCCCAUAUCCCAAAUCCCAAUCCCAUAUACCAUACCCCAAAUCCCAUAUCCCAUACCCCAUAUCCCAUCCCAAAUCCCAUACCCCAAUCCCAAAUCCCAUAUCCCAUCCCAUACCCCAAAUCCCAUACCCCAAAUCCCAUAUCCCACCCCAUACCCCAUAUCCCAUCCCAUAUCCCAUACCCAUAGCCCACCCCAUAACAAACCCUAUAGCCCGAUCCCAUAUCCCAUAUCCUAUAUCCCAACCCCAUCCCAUAUCCCCAUCCCAUAGCUCACC
rnacentral:lncRNA from 1 species